UUGUUGCUGUUGUUGCUGUUGUUUUCAAAGACCACCCCAGCCACUGUUUACAGGAUCAAAAGCAUUAUAAAAUAUGUGUAAUUAUUUCCUGAGCACGCCCUUCCUCCUCCUCUCUCUGUCUCUCUGUCUGUCUCUCUCUCUCUCUUUCUCUGUCUGUCUUCUCUCUCUCUUUGCCUGUCUGUUUCUCUGUCUCUGUCUCUCUGUCUCUCUCUCUCUCCCUGUCUCUCUCUCUGUGUCUGUCUUCUGUCUUACUUUCUCUGCCUGUCUGUCUGUCUGUCUCU
rnacentral:lncRNA from 1 species